rnacentral:pre_miRNA from 1 species
UAUAUACUCCGUCUGGUUCAUAUUACUUGUCUUGGAUUUGUCUAUAUAUGGAUGUAUCUAGACAUGUUUUAGUGUUAGAUACAUCUAAGACAAGUAACUGGAACUGGAGGGAGUAUUAG